rnacentral:rRNA from 1 species
UACGUAGGGGGCAAGCGUUGUCCGGAUUUAUUGGGCGUAAAGAGCGUGUAGGCGGUUUGGUAGGUCCGCUGUGAAAACUCGAGCUCAACCUCGAGACGCCGGUGGAAACCAUCAGACUAGAGUCCGGAAGAGGAGAGUGGAAUUCCUGGUGUAGCGGUGAAAUGCGCAGAUAUCAGGAAGAACACCCGUGGCUAAGGCGGCUCUCUAGUACGGUACUGACGCUGAGACGCGAAAGCGUGGGAGCGAACAGGAUAG